rfam:Emiliania huxleyi CCMP1516 EMIHTscaffold_151_Cont4371, whole genome shotgun sequence.
CCUCCGCGAUCUGCGGGCAAAUCCAGUGCACGUGCGUGUCGAUGGCGCCGGCGGUGACAAUCAUCUUUUCGCCCGCGAUGGCUUCGGUCGUCACGCCGGUCGUCAUGCCCGGCGUGACGCCCUCCAUCGUGUCCGGGUUGCCCGCCUUGCCGAUGCCGACGAUGCGCGACCCCUUGAUCCCGAUGUCCGCCUUGACCACCCCCAGCGCCGCGUCGAUGAUGAGCGCGUUCGUGAUGACCACGUCGAGCGCGUCGGCCGGGGCGCCGCCCGACUUUUGGCCCAUCCCCUCGCGCAG